GUUGGCUUAGAAGCAGCCACUCAUUUAAAGAGUGCGUAAUAGCUCACUAGUCGAGUGAUUGUGCGCCGAAAAUGUAACGGGGCUAAAAUUCAUACCGAAGCUUAGGAAUGAUAGUAAUAUUGUUGGUAGAUGAGCGUUGUGUAAGUCUGCGAAGCUACACCGAAAGGAGUAGUGGAGAUAUCACAAGUGAGAAUGCCGGAAUGAGUAGCGAGAAUUAUGUGAGAAUCAUAAUGGUCGAAAAUCUAAGGUUUCUUGAGGAAGGUUCGUCCGCUCAAGGUAAGCCGGGAGCUAAGGCGAGGCCGAGAGGCGUAGUCGAUGCACAUACGGUAAAGAUUCCGUAGCCACCGAAGUCGUUAAAUACAGGGACACAGGAACAUAGCCUAACCCCACCGUUGGUUGAGUGGGGCGUAAGGGAGCGAAAAUUAGUAGCGAAGUAGGUGAUUGUACACUGGCGAGAAAAGCUGUAUGAAUUGACAAGGUGCCCGUACCGCAAACCGACACAGGUAGAUGAGGAGAGAAUCCUAAGACCAGCGGGAGAAGUGUUGUUAAGGAACUCGGCAAAAUGACCCCGUAACUUCGGGAUAAGGGGAGCCUACGCGAGUAGGCCGCAGAGAAUAGUCUCAAGCGACUGUUUAGCAAAAACACAGGUCUAUGCUAAAUCGAAAGAUGAUGUAUAUGGGCUGACGCCUGCCCGGUGCUGGAAGGUUAAGGGGAAGUGUUAGAGCAAUCGAAGCACUGAACUUAAGCCCCAGUAAACGGCGGCCGUAACUAUAACGGUCCUAAGGUAGCGAAAUUCCUUGUCAGGUAAGUUCUGACCCGCACGAAUGGCGUAACGAUUUGGGCACUGUCUCAACAGCCCGCCCGGCGAAAUUGUAGUACCGGUGAAGAUGCCGGUUACCCGCGACAAGACGGAAAGACCCCAUGGAGCUUUACUGUAGCCUAAUAUUGGGUUUCGAUGUUGCAUGCACAGGAUAGAUGGGACACUGGGAAGCAGGUGCUUUGGCGCUUGUGGAGUGGCCGUUGGGAUACCAUCCUUGCGAUAUUGGAAUUCUAACCUGCGCCUUUGAAUCAAGGCGGGGGACAUUGUUAGGUGGGCAGUUUGACUGGGGCGGUCGCCUCCUAAAGAGUAACGGAGGCGUUCAAAGGUUCGCUCAGCUUGAACGGAAAUCAAGCAAAAGAG
rnacentral:rRNA from 1 species